rnacentral:rRNA from 1 species
CCUACGGGUGGCAGCAGUGAGGAAUAUUGGUCAAUGGCCGAGAGUCUGAACCAGCCAAGUCGCGUGAAGGAUGACUGCCCUAUGGGUUGUAAACUUCUUUUAUCUGGGAAUAAACUGUUCCACGUGUGGGAUUUUGUAUGUACCCUCUGAAUAAGGCUCGGCUAACUCCGUGCCAGCCGCCGCGGUAAUACGGAGGAUCCGAGCGUUAUCCGGAUUUAUUGGGUUUAAAGGGAGCGUAGGUGGAUUGUUAAGUCAGUUGUGAAAGUUUGCGGCUCAACCGGAAAAUUGCAGUUGAAACUGGCAGUCUUGAGUACAGGAGAGGUGGGCGGAAUUCGUGGUGUAGCGGUGAAAUGCUUAGAUAUCACGAAGAACUCCGAUUGCGAAGGCAGUUCACUGGACUGCAACUGACACUGAGGCUCGAAAGUGUGGGUAUCAAACAGGAUUAGAUACCCCAGUAGUC